rnacentral:rRNA from 1 species
AUGGGCACCAUGACUCUGCCGCCCGGCUUCAGGUUCCACCCCACAGACGACGAGCUCGUCGGCUACUACCUCAAGCGGAGGGUCGACAACCUCAAGAUCGAGCUCGAGGUCAUCCCCGUCAUCGACCUAUACAAGUGCGAGCCAUGGGAGUUGCCAGAGAAGUCGUUCCUGCCCAAGAGGGACCUGGAGUGGUUCUUCUUCGUGCCGCGGGACCGCAAGUACCCCAACGGGUCGCGGACCAACCGGGCCACCACCACGGGGUACUGGAAGGCCACCGGCAAGGACCGCAAGGUGUCGUGCGACGGCGGCGCCGUCUGCGGCGUCAGGAAGACGCUGGUGUUCUACAAGGGCCGGGCCCCCGGCGGCGAGCGCACCGACUGGGUCAUGCACGAGUACCGCCUCUGCCAGGACCUCCUCCACGGCGCCUCCAACUUCAUCGGCGCCUACGCGCUCUGCCGCGUCAUCAAGCGCACCGAGGCCGGCCUCCUGCACGGCGACGCGGUUGCCAAGGCCAAGCCGGGCCACCAGCAGAUGACCAAGGUUGGGAGCAGCUCCUCCCUGGUCACCACGGACCAGCAGCUGAGCUCCCUCACGCCCAGCCCUCCGCGCCUCGACAUCGUCGGCAACGCCUUCCAGCUUCACAGCUCCCCCUCUCCCCUGUACGGAGGGGAGGUGAUGUCCGGCAUGGGUGCGCCCCUGGGGUUCCCGCAGCAGGACGCCGCCGGCACAUUCUUCAUCGACGGCGACCUCGCCGGCGCAGGCGAGACGACGCAGGCGCACAUGCCUUUCUUCGACGACAUGGGCGUGGUCUCGGACCACGAGCUCAGAUGGGACACCUUGCCGCUCUGCACUAACAACACCUUCUCCUCCACCGCCGGUACGUGCACUGCUCUGCUUCACGAGCUCGAUCAAUUCUUGAAUCCUCCGUCGCCAUUCGCGCGAGUUCUCAAUGCAUAUGCAUGUCCUUCUGCAGGCGCGGCGGAGCUUUGGAACCCGGCGGCACCGAACGCCGCCGCCCCGAUGCUGUGCAGGGAGGCGAGCGACGACCUGGCGGCGUUUUUCUCGUCCUUGGACGAAAACAACAUGGUGGUCUACUGA